rnacentral:rRNA from 1 species
UUGAGGCGGGCUGGAACCUCUCGGGGUUACAGCCUUGCUGAAUUAUUCACCCUUGUCUUUUGCGUACUUCUUGUUUCCUUGGUGGGUUCGCCCACCACUAGGACAAACAUAAACCUUUUGUAAUUGCAAUCAGCGUCAGUAACAAAUUAAUAAUUACAACUUUCAACAACGGAUCUCUUGGUUCUGGCAUCGAUGAAGAACGCAGCGAAAUGCGAUAAGUAGUGUGAAUUGCAGAAUUCAGUGAAUCAUCGAAUCUUUGAACGCACAUUGCGCCCUUUGGUAUUCCAAAGGGCAUGCCUGUUCGAGCGUCAUUUGUACCCUCAAGCUUUGCUUGGUGUUGGGCGUCUUGUCUCUAGCUUUGCUGGAGACUCGCCUUAAAGUAAUUGGCAGCCGGCCUACUGGUUUCGGAGCGCAGCACAAGUCGCACUCUCUAUCAGCAAAGGUCUAGCAUCCAUUAAGCCUUUUUUUUCAACUUUUGACCUCGGAUCAGGUAGGGAUACCCGCUGAACUUAAGCAUAUCAAUACG